rnacentral:rRNA from 1 species
AUUCCAGCUCUGUAAGCGUAUACCAAAGUUGUUGCAGUUAAAACGCUCGUAGUCGGAGGUUGGCGGGCAGUCCAGGGCGUCCUCGCGGACGGAUCUGGAGUUGGCCGCCUUUGUGGAUGGGGGCCUGGUGGAGCUUCACUGCUUCAUUGUGGUCGCUGCCACCGUUUACUGUGAAAAAAUUAGAGUGUUCAAAGCAGGCGUUUGCCAUGAAUACAUUAGCAUGGAAUAAUAGAAUAGGACCUGUUUCCUGUUUUGUUGGUUUGUGAGGAUCGGGUAAUGAUUAAGAGGGACGGUUGGGGGCAUUUGUAUUCCGGCGUCAGAGGUGAAAUUCUUGGAUUGGCGGAAGACAAACGGCUGCGAAAGCGUCUGCCAAGGACGUUUUCAUUA